GAUGAACGCUGGCGGCGUGCCUAAUACAUGCAAGUCGAGCGAACGGACGAGAAGCUUGCUUCUCUGAUGUUAGCGGCGGACGGGUGAGUAACACGUGGAUAACCUACCUAUAAGACUGGGAUAACUUCGGGAAACCGGAGCUAAUACCGGAUAAUAUUUUGAACCGCAUGGUUCAAAAGUGAAAGACGGUCUUGCUGUCACUUAUAGAUGGAUCCGCGCUGCAUUAGCUAGUUGGUAAGGUAACGGCUUACCAAGGCAACGAUGCAUAGCCGACCUGAGAGGGUGAUCGGCCACACUGGAACUGAGACACGGCCCAGACUCCUACGGGAGGCAGCAGUAGGGAAUCUUCCGCAAUGGGCGAAAGCCUGACGGAGCAACGCCGCGUGAGUGAUGAAGGUCUUCGGAUCGUAAAACCCUGUUAUUAGGGAAGAACAUAUGUGUAAGUAACUGUGCACAUCUUGACGGUACCUAAUCAGAAAGCCACGGCUAACUACGUG
rnacentral:rRNA from 1 species